AUUCCGUGAUGAGGGCAUCUUCGUAAUAGUUCUUUAAACCUCUCCUACGCCUCAUACCAGGACUCAUCAUCGAACUGUUGGAAAGUAAUAAUCGCGUUCCUUAACUU
rfam:Gossypium raimondii Chr03_contig_282, whole genome shotgun sequence.